CACAUGGUUACAUUUCUUCCUUGCUAUAUAAGCACCUAAUUUUAGUCACGUGAGACGGAUUUGAGACUGAUCUGCCAUUCUCCUUGGCUGCAACACUUGAAUAAAGCCUUCUUUUCUGGCGAUACUCACUGUUCCAGUAAUCAGCUUUCUAUGUGGCAAGCAAAAGUACCUGGACCAAACCCCUGGCAUUUCGGAAAAAAAACAAGUUACUUUUAAUGCCGUCAUCAUCAUUAUCAUUACUAUCAACAACAACAAAACAAUAAGGACAAUAAACAGGAAUUGGACACCUCUGCAGUCCUUGAGGGAAGCAACAAUAUUAAAGAAGGCCGAUCCUCUGAGAAACCACAUUGAGAUCCAUCAAGGCAGCAGGGGACACAGAGAGCAGAGAGGAGUAAAACUGGGCACCAGCCCAUCUGGGCUCAGCAUGAAGCCAGGAGACUCUCUCCAAUGUGGGAAAGGCCUGUUCAUCCUUGAGUAGAAGCAACAGAAGAUAAUACCCAAAUGCUGACUGCCGUUGUGGAAAAAACUCACCCAUAUCCUGCCUGUAGUUAACGGCAGAGGUACUGCAUCCUGCAGUGUUGGAAUGGUCUAAGGAGGCUGCUGAGUUGGAUCUCACUGGCUUACAUGUUCAUCUAAACCUCUUUCCUAUGGAUUCAUGCGUAUGCCUGGUUUUUGUCUAAUGCCAGAUCUGAGGUAGAGUGAAUGUGUGCCCUUCCCCAUUACAAACACUUGGAUUGAUAUCUUCUCUUGGGUUAGAGAAUAGAAUUUCCUUCUGAGGAUAAAGUGGACAGUGUGCAUUAGAUCUAUCCCAUGAAGUUCCUGCUGGUUAUGGUGAAUGGGAACCAACCUCACUAGGGUGAAAGUUAAAAUUCACCACUGAUUGAAUUAGAACAAUUGUUCAUGCUGUUCAAGAGCAGAGAACAGUCUGAUAUCUAAAGAGUUUAGUUAAGCCCCAAGGAGCAAUUUUUCUCUCCUGUUCUAAGUUUUCCUCUUGAGUUUUUCCCCUGUGGGAAUUAUUAUCGUGUUUGCAACAUUGAAAGUUUUGAUUGACAUUUCCUACACUUGCAGGUUUUUAACACAAACUUCAGUUUGAUGACAAUAUAACCAAAUCCCAGGGACAUGAAUAAAACACUCCUUUUAAAUUUUUA
rnacentral:lncRNA from 10 species